UUGCAGGCUCUGAGACGUGGCAUAGCUCAGUCCCAGCCUAACUCAGCAGUUUGCACAGGAGUGUGGCUGUUUUUGAUCCCAUUAUUGCAUUGUCCCAUUGAAGAAAUCUACAAGAUAAUGACAUCCUGCAAGGCAAGAAGGAUUGGAAUUGACAAUCUCAACACUGUCAUCACUGUAUGCAUAUGGAAGGUGUAUUCAGGUUUAAUAAAGGCAUCCUG